rnacentral:lncRNA from 1 species
UUCUGGUAAAGAUUCAAGAAAGCUUUUGAAAGUUAACUUCCAGUAACUCCAAUGCUUCUCCGCAUCUGGUGAGUUCAGAUUCCUGUCAAGUCGGUCUGGACGAAGUAACUUUUCCAUUUUGUUUAAAACUUCGAUAAUUUUAAAAUAAGCCAAAUAAAUUGAAACAACAGUGGCGCUAAAGCAUUUAGCUCCAGGAUCGAAAGUAGUAGACGAGAGUACAUUAAAAGAAGUAGAUGAGGAAGAACCAUUGAGGACUGUCCAGGAGACCUAAUAGAGAUCGACGGCGUCCCUCCUUUUUGGGAAUUGGGGAAGAGAAUAUGGUAAUAUGCCUUCAACAUUUAGGUGACGGAUGCUACAGGCCUUCUCUUGAAGUGUGGCAAGAAAGAAAAGUCAUGGGGAUUGACAACCGGACUGUAUGGUGGCCACAUUCUUUUAUCCCAGAAAGGGAGGUUGUACGCCCAGAAGGUUGGAAUAAUUUUCACAGUGUGAGUGGGGCACCAUCUUUCUGAAAGACGACCUUGCCCUCAUAGAAAUUUGCCAUGGCCCAGGAGAGAAGGUUGUUUUGAAAGCGUCUAUGUAUAUGAACGCCGUGAGCCUGUAAUCCUGCGCAGAUAAGGGGCGGCACAAUGCUGUUGGAGGUAACAAUGUCUAGCACCAUGUCUGAUUCUGGGUGUUUGGUUGUGGUUACUAUUAAACGGUUCUCAUUGAUUUCUCACAAGUUGAUAUAACCAAGAAGAAUGUACAAUUAUCGCAUAGGAUCCUGAAAAUCGACUUAACCAAAAUAAAAAACCGAACAUUUCAUGAAUUUAUUAAAAAAAAGAAGAAUUCUUCGGGCGCUCUGGGCAGGAUGAGAAAAGGGGACAUAUCCCAGAAAUGAAGAUGGAUGUUCAUCGAACAUACACCAGAAAAAUAAAUUUUAUUUUGAUCCAAUUACAAUUAUUGGCCCCUCCGCUUAAAAGUUGGUGCGGAGAGCCAUAUUGAGAAGUAUAUUAAAACUACUCGACCCUUUCUGUGCCUAUUUUUAUUCCAUAUUUGUCGUACUUUACUAAACUUUUACUAACAAGUUGUAAUGUGUAUACGCAUGAUAUUAAAACAAAAUCACGUUUAUAUGUAAAAUUUCAAAACUAUCUCUAAAUAUACAUAGAAAUUGUUCAAA